AUCUGCUUUAUUGAUUUUUCACUCUUGGUUUCAAUUUCUCUUCAAUUCACCUUUUGCUUUGUCGAUUUGUGCAGCUGCAGAAAGUUGAGAAACAGCGGCUAAAGCAUGCGAACGGCGAACCCGGACUGAAAGAUACGGGUUUUGAUUUUUUUGAGCAAUCUGAAAUGAUAUGCCGAUCAUUCAGAACACAACUUAGCUUCAAUAACUAUCUUCCUGACUUGGGCUUCUCUGCUGCUUUUGCAAUCUCAUCAAAAUAGACACUUAAAAUCUCACCCAGGCCUUCUCAAUUCUUAAUUUGUAGGGAUUUCCCUAACAUUCAUUGGGGUCGUCCGGGCUGAAAGAAACCAAUAGAAAGCAAAAUGGCUUGAUCAGCAACAGCAGAGAUAUUGAAACUUCUCCCUGACAGUAUCUACAGAAGAUAGGAAAAAGUCAACUGGAAUUGGACUGAAGCUUUAUUUUCUUUCUCAUAAGCCCUGCUGCAGGCUUUGGCAAGGACCUCCCGAGCCACAGAACAGAAGGCAUCUCCGAUCAGAUGAUCUAGAAUUUGAUUAUUUCUUGUGAUCCGCUUCCGAGCAAAACCCAUACAUACAAGUUAGAAGUUGCAGAGAGAGAGGGGGGCAAGCUUGACGGUUGAGAGAUAGCGGCUGAAGCAUGCCAACGGCGAACCCGAACUGUGGAAACUGAAUUUUGCAGUUGCAGAGAGUUGAGAGACAGCGGCUGAAGCAUGCCAACGGCGAACCCGAUGACGAUUUCUUCUCCUCCGCCUCUUCCGCCUCUUCCUCCUCCUCCGAUGACGUUCCUGCCGACAAGCCUUCGUCACCUUCGCCGCCACCUGCUCUUGAUCAGACUCAAAUCCUUAUAAUAUGGCCUUCAGACGGCAAUCUAACCCUAAAUUGGGUGUCGCGGCCUUUAAUUGGUCCUCCAAGAUGUGUAGUAUCUCAGUAAAUUAGGUAUCGCAGCCUUAGUGUUUUUUAUUUUUGUUUUUUUUUUAACCCUGUGUGAUAUAUAUUAAUAAAAUAUUAAAAGAUGUUUUACUCA